rnacentral:lncRNA from 1 species
CGUUUUCUUGUGUUCUCCGUCAGAGGAGAACGAUCCAAACCGACGACAGACGCGACUUCAUCGGUCCGUCUCGAUCCUCACCGUCGUGUUCUCUCGUCUUCUCCGUCACGAGUGAAUCGAAACCCACCACAGACGAAGACUCUCUCGUUCCUCACGGCAUCUUCUCUCGUCGCGAUCGUCCGAAGAAGGAUCGAAAUCCACGACUUGCGUCUCCUCCGUCGGUCCUAAUGGAGACUCCUCCGUCUUCUCUUGUCUCCUCCGUUAGACGAGUGUCUUGGUCCUGUUUGCGUCUCCUCCGUCAUCUCUUGUCAAACCCGUUAGAAGAAGGACCGAAACCCACCACAAUCGACGAGUCUCUCAGUCCUCACCGCCUC